rnacentral:ncRNA from 1 species
UGCGGCGGCAUCCGUGCCGCCGCUCCCCCGCGCGAGGGAUCGUAGCGGAAAGCCCGGAACAAGAAGAAAGCGCCCUGAUGGGCGCUUUCUUCUU